rnacentral:rRNA from 1 species
AGAGUUUGAUCCUGGCUCAGAACGAACGCUGGCGGCGCGCCUAAUACAUGCAAGUCGAGCGAGAAGGUGUAGCAAUACACUUGUAAAGCGGCGAACGGGUGGGGAAUACAUGGGUGACCUACCCUCGAGUGGGGAAUAACUAGCCGAAAGGUUAGCUAAUACCGCAUACGAUUCCCGGAUUACGGUCCGGGAAGGAAAGCGAUACCGUGGGUAUCGCGCUCCUGGAUGGGCUCAUGUCCUAUCAGCUUGUUGGUGAGGUAACGGCUCACCAAGGCUUCGACGGGUAGCUGGUCUGAGAGGACGAUCAGCCACACUGGCACUGCGACACGGGCCAGACUCCUACGGGAGGCAGCAGUAAGGAAUAUUGCGCAAUGGGCGAAAGCCUGACGCAGCGACGCCGCGUGGGGGAUGAAGGUCUUCGGAUUGUAAACCCCUUUCGGGAGGGAAGAUGGAACGAGCAAUCGUUCGGACGGUACCUCCAGAAGCAGCCACGGCUAACUUCGUGCCAGCAGCCGCGGUAAUACGAAGGUGGCAAGCGUUGUUCGGAUUCACUGGGCGUACAGGGAGCGUAGGCGGUUGGGUAAGCCCUCCGUGAAAUCUCCGGGCCUAACCCGGAAAGUGCAGAGGGGACUGCUCGGCUUGAGGACGGGAGAGGAGCGCGGAAUUCCCGGUGUAGCGGUGAAAUGCGUAGAGAUCGGGAGGAAGGCCGGUGGCGAAGGCGGCGCUCUGGAACGUUUCUGACGCUGAGGCUCGAAAGCGUGGGGAGCAAACAGGAUUAGAUACCCUGGUAGUCC